rnacentral:SRP_RNA from 1 species
GCCGAGCUCAGCAGCGCGAGCUUGUAACCCGAGCGGGGGCUCUAAGGGUGAUGUGGACGUUGCCGUAUGGCUGUGGGCCUGGGUUGAGUGUGCUCUUGCUGGCCCGCCCGUUCCAAGUUGGUAGUGGACCGCUGGGGCUUGUGCGAAAGCUGGGCCUCACGGUCCCUAGAGUGGUAGGCACAGCGUGAGGCUGGCUUCACAGAGCAGCGACAACUGCCCGCUUCCAACGGUGGGAGGAUAACGGGCCGCUGCACUCUUGGCCCAUAUCAGGCUCCCAGCCUACUCCAACGGACCCAUCACCUUU